rnacentral:antisense_RNA from 1 species
CUUCAGCGAGCCGAGCAGCAACGGACGCUCCGGAUCGCGAUCCCGCCCGUACGUGGCGAGCAGCGCCUGUGCCUC